GAUGAAGAACGUAGCGAAAUGCGAUAAGUAAUGUGAAUUGCAGAAUUCAGUGAAUCAUCGAAUCUUUGAACGCACAUUGCGCCCGCCAGUAUUCUGGCGGGCAUGCCUGUCUGAGCGUCAUUUCAACCCUCAAGCAACUUCUGCUUGGUGUUGGGGAUCGGCCGUUAAACGCCGCCCCCGAAAUCUAUUGGCGAUCUCGCUGUAGCUUCCUAUGCGUAGUAGUAACAUCUCGCAUCUGGAGAGCGGCGCGGUCACGCCGUAAAACACCCAACUUCUCAGGUUGACCUCAGAUCAGGUAGGAAUACCCGCUGAACUUAAGCAUAUCAAUAAGCGGAGGA
rnacentral:misc_RNA from 1 species